GAGUCACCUGAAGUCGGGCGUGGUUCCCACGCCGGGCCCUCGCAGCCUCGCCUUUUGAUUGGAUACCAGAUUUAUGGUGCGGGACACCAUUGGCUGUAAGAUCUCUGCCUUCCCGAGAUCAUCCACUUCUGGCCUCCUCUGAUGAUUAUCUGAGUACCGAGAAAUGGUUGCCUCUCUUAUGAGAGGCCCUCACGGGCAUGAGGUCAAGACGGGCCGUUUUCAGUGGUGUGGGCCUCUCAGAUUGCGCUGCACAGUAUAUAAAUUGUGAACCAAAUAAUCAGACUUGCUCUUUGGCUGGAUUACACUUUCUCCCGGAGUAUCAGAUGCAUUCCACUGAGACCACAGAAAGAAAACACAAAGAUCAAGAAACCGUGACACCAGCUUGUUCUGCCCAGCAGAUCCACUGGAAUCCUGCGGAUUGAUCGGAUCCCCUUGCUUCAAGCCAGCAGCCAAGCUGUUGCUCUUCCCAGCUCACAGAGCAGCUUUCUCGGCCUUCGGCGCCCCCACAUCUCAGCUGCAGUUUGUCAUAUCGGAUGGCGUGAGUGUGGCUCCCAAAAGUUGGAGCCCGGCCAUACCACAUGCACACGGAGCAGCAGAGGGAGGAGAGACUGCAGGACUCUCUCUGGCAAAUUCUCACCUGCACCUCCAGGUCAGACCCCACCCAACAUCAAGGAUGAUUCUGCAGAGUGAGCAGCUCCCCUCACCUGGACAGCAACAGCAGGUGGACAGACCACCCAGACACCCGCCUCCUCACCUGAGGGGUCAGCCCCUGGGGUGUAGGUCAACCCCACCACUCCCACUUUGGCCACCAGAACUGUGGUGGGGAAAAUCACUAGGAUGCAAGGAAGUCAAUGAUUUGAACAAGCGGAAUUUCUUUGUCCUUUGUAAAAGUCACCACAUGAUCUGUUACUGAUUGGGAUGUGAAAUAAAACUAAAAAUAACAGCACAUUGAAUCUCAGGUAAGGCUCUGCUCACCUUUAACACAG